GGUGUUAGUGGUCAAGGUAUCAAAAUGCUAACGGAAUGAAACUUCUGGUAUGAAAAUGCAAGUUUUUGAUAGUUAGGUAUGAAAAUGAAAAUAGCAUCAUAAUUCGGGUGGUGUUUUGUAAUUAAUCCGAGAAGUAAAAUACAUUUCUACUGAAAAGGAUAUGCCUGAUAGUCUGAUACUUGGGAUCAUUUCUUCAAAGGUUGCCAACUUGCCAUGCCCUGAAAAUCUGGAAUGAUAUAGACAAAACACCUGAUAUCACUUUGCACACUUUCUGUAAGCUUUAAAUCAUAUUCAUGGCUGAUGCCCAAUUUCAAGUCGUUUGAUCAAACUCACUACCAUUAAAGAUGCAUGUCAUGUGAUAUCUUGAUGCUUUAAUUAGUGGCACUUUGUUCCCCACACCAUCCACAAGCCUAGGAACUUCUUACAAACACUUAACAGUUGCUGAUUUUCUUGAAGUACUAAUUUUAGGCGUAGAACGCUAGAGAAAGAAAAACAUAGUGCAAGAAAAAUCCUUGUAUGAAAGUCAAAUCAUCCUUUUUUUGAAGCAAGCUUCUCCUCGCAGCUCCGUGUUCUUCAACAAGCAUUUCGUGUAUGGGAACCUGCUGCUUAAGAGAACUGCUCUAGUUGAUCGUAUCCAUGAUCACUUCAAGCGUAAUAUAUUGAAUCUUAGUGUACAAAAUAUGCGAAUAGCAUUUGCAGUCCUGCAUACGUCUCUCGUGUCGUCCUUCACCCUUACUUCUUUCAGCUUCAAAAGUUAAUGUGAUAUGGCAACCGGUGAAGGUUCAAAGUUCAAACAUGAUGUAAACCACAAAUGAACAAGGAACAUUGAAACUGAAAAGUUCAAUUUCAGACCUUCGUCCUCCUGGAAAUAGGUGUGACAAACAUAAUACACAAAGAUGGUUUGACCAUUAGCCUAAGAUACUACUACUUUAGCCCAACUUUGAUAUGUACUAAAAAUUACUGAAAAGUGAAAACUAUCUGUACACUAGGAAAAAAUGGGAAGGAUGUAGUGAAGCAACAAACUACUUCACAGAAUCAUCUCUUCUUGCAUUUUAUCCACGACAUAAGAAAAAAGCCAAGAAUGAAUUGCCUCGUCAACAGAUGUUGUUGGGGGGGGGGGGGGGUCGAGUCACGCUUCUCUCGAAGGAGUCGAAGCCGUCACUCCGGCAUCCGCCUCCCNUGGAUUCACUGGAUGGCAAGACGCCUACUGUGAACCCUGUAUUUGAUGAUAUACUUCCCCGUGCUGGCCCAUACAUCUCCNNNNNNNNNNNNNNNNNNNNGGGGGGGGGGGGGCGAUCACGCCUUCUCUCGAAGGAGUCGAAGCCUCACUCCCGGCAUCCGCCUCCCAUGGAUUUCACUGGAUGGCAAGACGCCUCUGUGAACCCUGAUUUGAUGAUAUACUUCCCCGUUGCUGGCCCAUACAAUCUCCUUCAUCACCUCUUUUUCCCGAAUACGUACGAUACAAUGAAGCCUGCAAGCCACCAUGAGUCUGGUAGCAGCCACUACCAUUUACAUAAUUGUUAGUGGCAUAUGCAUCAUGGACUUGGGGUCGACUAGCUUCUUGUUGACUGAUGGAAGAAUUCCAUGUUUCUGCAGAAUCUGAGGGCAAGGGUUCCGAGCCUGAUGAACUGGCAGACUGUGAUGAAUGUGAUGCCUUUUCUUGGCCACCGGUCUUUAAAGUAUCACCAUUUGUCUUCUUUGCAAAACGUCCUCCAGUACCUCUUGCCCUUCUCAUAGCAUGUUGAUGUCGUGAUUCGUGAAGAUAUGGCUGUAGAAAGUGACAUUUCAUAUAUCAACAACUCAAUCAACUGCAAACACACACUCAUAUUCACAGCCAUAUUAACACCAACAAAUUGCCCAAAAUAAGAAUGCCAUAUUAUACACAGUACAGUCUCAAUCUUUUAUAUCAAUUUCAAGAGUGAGAGAUAGCAAAAUAUAUUUAUAUACACUACAUAUCAGUCAUCACACCCUCAAAAUUCAAAUCUCCAUAUGAUUAUCCUGACCAUCGCAAAAUAAACCUAUAGUUAUUGCAAAAUCACUGAAUAUGCUUAUUUACAUAUAUAACAGAACCAACAAGACUGAAUGAAUUGAAAUCUGAUAGGUACAAGAGUUCAUUCCACAAUUCUCGCCUUUCAAAUAACACAAGCAGGACCACUUGCAAUGAAAAGAAAAAAAAGACCGAGACACAGGAUUAAAUCAUUAAAACAUAGAAUAAAAUUACCUCAUUGAGAAAUAGACUACAAAUUUCGUUUACUUAAUCCAAAGAGUCAUGUAGCAGUUUAUUUUUAGGAUAAGUAGAAGAGUUGUGUAUCAGUUUUUACAGGUCUCAUACGAAACAUCAAAACUUUUUCAGACCCUAGUUUACAGUCAACAUCAAUUGGUGCAAUUCAUGAUAGAGAGCAAGUGUGUCAGUGCAGUCAAAUUUUUUACCUUUCUGACUUUAAUUAGCUUCUUUUCAAGUUCUGCUUUUGCACGUGCCUGUCUUCGCCGUAGAAUUCCUUGGUAUUGUUUUGCAUUGACAUAUACAGGCUCCUGUGCCAUCUCUAGGGGCAAAGGCAUUCUAGCAUGUGGCAUUCCAACAAAAGGAGGAUAACCCUGAGCAAUAGAGAUAGCAUUAGAUAUUGAAAGAUUUAGAAUUUGCAGCUUUCAAAUCCACCUUUUAUAGCAAAAAUCAUUACUAAUUACUGUUACUGUCACCCACCACCAGAAUGAUGUAGCACAACAGAAAAAUACGGUUAGGCUUCAGAUGGUGGGACAUUUCGUACUUAAAAGACAGAGAGAAAAUGAAAAGAUAAAAAAUAAAAUAAAAACACUUUUGUUGUGGCAAGGACGACACAACAUCAAACAGAAAAAGAUAUAAAAGGGGCCAAACCUAUCAACAACACUACACUUUCACUCAUCCAUUUUUUUUAUUUGCUUUAUGAGAGCUGGCCUGAUUUAUAUGAUUCACAUAAGACUCUGGUAGACUGCUAGAAAUGUCAAGCCUCUCAUUGAACCAAACAAGGGUCUUCUAUAUUCAUUAAUUAAUGGCAAACGUCAACACUAAACAUAGCUUUCUGAGACCCGACACCCCCCCCCCCCCCAAAAAAAAAACAACCCCUCUUUUUCCUGAAGAUAACAGUUUUCUCAUUUAUUGCGUUCUUGAUAACUCUUCCUACUGUUCAAUUUUUUUAUUAUAUAUUUUUUAUCAACCAAGUAUCCCCUUUCUUGAUAACUCUUCCGGAACUGCUCAAUUUUUUUAUUAACCAUGUCUCUUUUGGACAGAAAGGACUUACUUUUAGAGAUUUACAUUUGGGACAACAAUGAUAUAUGAGAAGACAUAUAGAAUGAGAAACUGCGACCUCUAACACACAUACCAUCUGGACUUCCUGGAUUAACAGUGAUCUUGAAAGGUGUUUGAGGGAAUAAAAACUAUAUCCUACAAUAUUUUUUUUCUAAUCAAACUAG
rnacentral:lncRNA from 1 species